rnacentral:misc_RNA from 1 species
AGUUCAUCCGGCUCAGACUUGAACGCUGGCGGGAUGCUUUACACAUGCAAGUCGAACGGCAGCACGGACUUCGGUCUGGUGGCGAGUGGCGAACGGGUGAGUAAUGUAUCGGAACGUGCCUAGUAGCGGGGGAUAACUACGCGAAAGCGUAGCUAAUACCGCAUACGCCCUUCGGGGGAAAGCGGGGGACCUUCGCCUCGUACUAUUAGAGCGGCCGAUAUCGGGAUUAGCUAGUUGUAGGGCAACGCACCACCAAGGCGACGAUCCGUAGCUGGUUUGAGGACGACCAGCCACACCGGGACUGAGGCACGGCCCAGACUCCUACGGGAGGCAGCAGUGGGGAAUUUUGGACAAAUGGGGGAAACUCCGAUCCAGCCAUCCCGCGUGUGCGAUGAAGGCCUUCGGGUUGUAAAGCACUUUUGGCAGGAAAGAAACGGCACGGGAUAAUACCCCGUGCAACUGACGGUACCUGCAGAAUAAGCACCGGCUAACUACGUGCCAGCAGCCGCGGUAAUACGUAGGGUGCAAGCGUUAAUCGGAAUUACCGGCGCAGCGUACAGGCGGUCUUAAGAAAGAAAGACGGAAAUCCCAGAGCUUAACUUUGGAACUGCAUUUUUAACUACCGAGCUAUUGUGUCAGAGGAGGUGGAAUUCCGCGCAGUGAAAUGCGUAGAUAUGCGGAGGAACACCGAUGGCGAAGUAGCCUCCUGGGAUAACACUGACGCUCAUGCACGAAAGCGUGGGAGCAAAACAGACGAUUCCUCGUAGU